rnacentral:misc_RNA from 1 species
GAUGAAGAACGCAGCGAAAUGCGAUAAGUAAUGUGAAUUGCAGAAUUCAGUGAAUCAUCGAAUCUUUGAACGCAUCUUGCGCUCCUUGGUAUUCUGAGGAGCAUGCCUGUUUGAGUGUCAUUAAAUUCUCAACUACACUGACUUUGAAUUGGUGUGGCUUGGAUUUGGGGGGAAAAUUGUUGUGGGCUUUUUGUAUAGUCUGCUCCCCUGAAAUUGAUUAGCGGUACCUUUGUGGAACUGUCUACAGGUGUGAUAAUUAUCUACAUCUUAGACAUCUGCUGGAAUGCUCCUUUCUAAACCUUACUUGUAUUGACAAUCUUGACCUCAAAUCAGGUAGGACUACCCGCUGAACUUAAGCAUAUCAAUAAGCGGAGGA